GUGAUUUUUAAAAAUCUGUGUGGUAGAGGAGUCAUUGAUACCCUUCAACACACACACACAAAACAGUGUUAAAUAAAUGAUAGUAUUUAUUUAUUUAUUGCAGUCAGAUACAGUUAAAACCAUUCAAUGUUUGAAUGGCUGUUGGUCUUUUGUGUCGAUUACCUCUUGCAUUUUCUGUGCAUUGCCUGCUUUAAAUAAGUCCCAACAGCCCUUAGCCCACCUGUACAAGAAAAAACCUUCGCCUACCUGGCCUGGUUAUCCGCUAUUCUGCUUCCCCUUAGCUUAUUUGUGCCAGGUCUCCUCUGUGGUUAGGCCUUGGGCAGCAGUGUGUUCCCCAGCAGGGCCCGAGCUAAUUUAUUAGCCUAUAAAAGCCUGCGCAGCCUCCAGUAGAGCUUUGAUAUAUUCAUCACAAUGUGCUGGCUUGUAAAAAUACUCAACCCCCUGAGAGAUUUCAGCACUUUGUUUACAAGGACCUGUUGCAGGAGGGGGCGGAGGGAAAACAGGGGGAUGAAAAAGACGAGAGGAGGACUGCAGAACAGGUGUUGCUGGAACAGGUAAUGGGUUUCGACUUUGAGAAACGAGACUUGUGAUGCUUCCCAAGUUAGUUUUACAGUCAGGUGCCUGGUCUAAAACCAGGGCCUGAAGGGAAACAUAGCCUAGGUCUUGCUAACGCAACUGUUGAGUUUGAUACUGACACCUUGGCUGUGUGGAAUCCAGUUCCUUGACCGAAUUAAUAAAUCCCAAAGUUAUUGACCCAGUCAGGAGACAUAAAAUUCCCUGCCUUGAGACAAGAAGGCUGAUGUUGGGCAGUAAAAGUUACUUUCUUGUUGGAGGAGAUGAACAAGCCAAACAGAUGUACUAAAUCUCCAUAUUUGGAUCUGCAGUGUAAUUCGCAGCAUAUAAGUAGAGCGGCUCAACACCACCACAGAUUAUUGCAGAUGAAAGUUGCCUACAGCACUCGCAUCGCUUGAUUUUCAGAGGUUUGACUUGAGGUUAGAGGAGGUGACGCUAUAGAAACCAAUUUGAAAACACCACAUAAGCACUGCAAAUUAGAAUUGACUUGAGCAGGUCACCUUUGACCUUUAGGAUAAGAACUGCCCUGUUUCUGUGGCUCUGACUCCACUAAGAUCUGCCCGAUGAUGAUGGUUUUGGCUUGACGCGAGGAACAGAAUUGCUUCACCCCUCCCUUUUGGCUUUUUGGAAUUAGAGGCAAUGCAGAUGUUAAGUGCCUUCACAGAACUGUACUUGCACUGGCCCUUUAUGUCCGGAGACAUUAAAACAGCGAGACCUAAAUCUGGCCCAACAUUACACAGGCACUGGUGUGUACUGUAUAUGUAGGCGAUGUACUAAACCUCAUGUGAUUUUGGUGCACUUUGUUUUCCACCCACACGAUCUUGACGAGGUCUCGCCUUUGCCGACAGUAGCUGAGCAUAAUGGCAGCUCUUGGCACGUGAAGCCGCCUGAUUUCGCCAGACAGCGCUCCCUUCUCACUGCUGUGGUUUAGGUUUGGCUCAUGGCAUGUGGGGGAUUUGAGACAUUGGAAAGGCAUUUCCCUGUGUGACCACAAAGACUUGCCCUCCUGUGUGAGAAUGAGGCAGGUUCUGGCACCCAGGCUCCGCUAAUGAAAGAUUUAAUUUCAGUUAAGGGCUAUAGGAGGGUCAGUCACUUUCCAUCUGACAUAAUGCAGGUCUUGAACAUGCUGUUGUUUUAUUUGGUUACCUAGCUGUGUUGUCCCGGCCACACAGGGAAUGAUGACAAAGGCUGAAUCUUCCUAUGCGCUCGUAAUUUCCACUGUGUCUAAUCGUCUCCACAUCCACCAUAAGGCCUGAAUUAUCAGCCAUCUGAAUCAGCCCAAUUCAGACACUUUUUUUCAUUUGUUUGUGGCUAUUUUUGCAGUCUCACACAAAACGUGAAGACUCUCAGCUUCGAGUUCCCCAUAGCUCCCACCUCAAGUUCAUUGUCCAUGUGUGAACACGGUUUCGAUUCUCUGGUUGCUCGUUCUAUGCACCUUCACCCAAAUAAACCCUCAACGCAGGUCCAAAGCCAAAGGAAAUCAAGUCUUAUUUGAGAUAGAUCCGUGAUACGUGAUCCUCUCACAAAUAUUUUUUGGGUUACAUCAGGAGAAGUUCCAAGAAGAUUUGUAUUAAUUUUGAAGCUAAACAGAGCAGAAGGUAUUGUGAAGGCUCUCAUGUUAGCAGUAAGUAUGCCGAGGGAGGAAAGGUCAUGCAUAGUUGUAGCAGGCUAAAAUGGCAAAGUCAUAACCUCUAGUCAGAACCUAAGGACUGUGGUCUGUUUUACGAGUGUGUGCUGUGUUCAAAAGCAGUUUGUUCCUGAGCUUUAAUAGAUUUAGUCUGUGGGCAGGGUCACUAGUUCCCCCGAGGGAGGUUAUUGCCUUGUAAACUGUGUUAACAUGUAUGUUAAUGUUACUGUAUUUCACUACAGGAUAUGAAGUCCCAAAAGUCCUGCAGCCGCUACAUGAGACUCCAUCUCAAAUUUACAGCUUUUAAUGAUUUGUUUGGCACCAUGAAGGAGAAUAGUUAACAUUUUUAUUAUUAUUAGAGAUUUUUCAAGAGUGAUAUCAGAAGUUAGGCCCAUUUCUGGCAGUGUGACAGUUAUUGUAGCAUUUUAACCACAGCUUUGUUUCUACAUGUCUUGUCUUGGUCAGUGACAUGACAGUCAGUUGUUCAGUUGGCAGUCAAUGGAUUAAAUAGAUUAAAAAUGCAAUUAACAUAAUCAUAAUGAUUACAUAUGUAAUGAUUUGAAUUCACCACUUCUAUAAAGAGCAUGUUAUUCAUUUCUGAAUUAAAAUUAAUUUUGAUAUUGUUGGUGGUAUGGAUGGUGUAAAGUAAAAAAAAAAAAAAAAAUGUCUGGGUAAUUCAUUUAUCCUGGUAAUUUAAUAAAGAAAAUGCCUAAUUAAAAGAAAGAAAUUAAGCACUAUGAUAUUAUCUCUAUUACUAUUUACUAAAUUAGAUUGUUUUACUGCAUAUUAAUAUUUCAAAAACUUAUGAAAUGCAGAAAAAAGGAAAUGACAUCAUCGAGAGGACCUGCAGACCCUCAUUAUUGUAUCAAGGUCAGAAGUCUUUUAAAAUAUCCGGAAACCUUUGACCUUUAUUUGACAAGUUGUAAAACUCAACCUAAGCUUUUGUUGAAAGCCAUAUGACUUUUUUGAAAGUCAUACUCGUAUACACGGACACAUACCGAUGUAUAUGAAUACUGUGUAAAAAUUGUGAUUGAGAUUUAGACUUGGCACAAAUAGAUUUUUAAAAGAUUUUUCCAUUUCCAAUUUCCUUUUUUCACUGUCAUUGAUGCGUUUCAAAUGGAUGGACAUUAAAGUGUCUUUGUUAAAUGUAUAUGUAAAAAAUGUUACGUAGCAGAUGCACACCAUAUAAUAAACUAUGUCAAAACUAUGUCAAACUUGUUAAUUGACUAAGAUAAGAAACACGCUAACCAACCAGAUGCAAUUAGCACAUGGUCACAUGAGGUCAGCCUUGCAAUAGUUGCAAUUAUUGUACCAAGAAUUAAGACCGCCGUAAACCUCAUUUAAGAACAUGGAGGAACCUUGGAGCUCCAGACGGCCUGAUCACUCUGGCUGAUAAGCGACCGCAGAUUGCAGCUGCUAGCAGUAGCUCUGGACUGAUUUGCUGCUUGGUUAAGGGGCAAAGAAAAACACCAGCCCCGGCCUGCAAGUAUGUUGGCAGUCAAAUCUGGAGCAUGUUUGCUUUACUGGUGCAAGCUCGGACACUAGUCCACAUUCCACUGACCCCCACUUCUCCGUGUUUUCACAGGAAAUAAACAGAGGCUUGUUGCGGCUGCGUUAUCACUCCCUGUCUGUUUGGAGCACAACCAAAAGCUACAAAUCUGCAGAGCCGCCCAGUGGCGGGCGAGCGUGGAAUAACUCAUCAGACGGACUGGAGAUGUUUUCUCAGCAGGAUGGUUUGGCAACACCGAGAAUCCCCAGUGAGGGAGAAAGAAAAAUGAUGGGCAGCGGAGAAAGGAAUGAAGUCUCAUUUGGCUAGAGACCCACAACUACCCACCCACACACAGGAGAACAAGGACCCAGUUGGCUGAAGUUUCUGAUAAACCACUGCAGUGUGGGAAAGCUCAUCACUCAUUUUCAAAACGUUAUCAGACAAAAAAAAGUAAACAGCACACACUGGGCAUCAGUUUGUAAAAAACCUCCAGUAGAUACAGAGAAACCUGUGCUCACACUACAUGCAUACAUUUACUGUACAUACAUACAUUUAUCAGCAAGGAUGCAUUAAAUAGAAAUCAAGAGAGGCAGUUAAAGAUAUUUAUAAUGUUAAUAUAUAUAUAUAUAUAUUUCAAAUAAAUGCUGUCCUUUUGAACUUUCUAUUCAUCAAAGAAUCUCGAAAAAAUAUAUUAGUUUCCACAAAAAAGCAAGCAACACUGUUCACUGUUUUUAACACUGAUAAUAAUAGGAAAAAUUACUUGAGUGCCAAAUUAGCAUAUUAGAUUUUUUUCUGAAGGAUAAUGUGACACUGAAGGCUGGAGUUAUGACUGCUGAAAAUUCAGCUUUGCCAAUAAAGGUAUAAAUGACAUAUUAUUCACGUUUAUUUAUAUUGUGCUUUUCACAGUGCAAAGCACUUCACAGAAAAUGAAAGUUUCUACAUUACAUCAAGGAGUAGUUUAUUAGUGGUGACUGUGUCAAGGUGGGCCUAUGGUAGAAAUGUACAGUAAAAAUCAUCCAGUUAGUUAAUGACAUGUAUUCAAACAAACGGUGAAGACUAUUAACAGCAAUAAUUAUAACAGGAACAUUUGGUAGAUUCGUGUGUUGGUUCAGGGUUGUUGUCAUCUGAGGCCCUUAGAGGGGUUGGCAUCAUCUCUUCUCAGAAGAAACAUAUAUUAAAAUAUAACAGAAAAUAGUUGUAUCAAUUGUAAUAUUUAACAAUGCUACUGUUUUUAUUAACCAGUCUUUCUGCAUGUCUUUAUGAGUGAGUCAAUGAAUCAUUGAGUCAAACCAACUCAAAUCAUAAACACUGAUUUAUUUUGGAACGUUCAAAAUGUACAACGGCUGCUUAGGCUUCAUUUGGAACUACUUUCGUGGGUAUAGACAAAAAAUAGACAAAGUAACUGGCAAUGUUGUGUCUAAACAUUUGCUGAAUGUUGACUUCUUGUUUAUUAAACUGUUGUAUAAAAUUGCUCUCUCUUUCUAGUCACUCAGCAUGUCUGCGUGGACCCUUUUAUGAAUGUCAGGAAAUCAGGAACUUUAUAGACAGAGCCUUAGCACUUUGUCAUAGUAUUAGUUUCAACUCUAUUUUAUUGACUACUGGAUGAGAGCAAACAAAAAGACAGUUACUGUUACUAAACUGUUUUGGAGGAGCAUAGGUUUCUUUCAUAGCUCCAAGACAGUAUUUGGCUGAACACUGGGUGUUUAGGCCUGAAGUACUGUGAAACUGUCUGAGACAACAAUUUUGAUGAAAAAAAAAAAUUUGUUUUCUGAUUUGAACUUAAACUGAUUGGCUUUCACAGAAACCAGAGAACUCCAGCUGAAGAACUACUUGGCAUCUUCUAACGAAUCCCAGUAACAAGAAAUUACGUGUUACUGUUCCUGUUUUUCUUGUCAUAGUUGGACCUCUAAUAAGGCUGUAAUCUUGUUAAAUUGUUCCUUUUCUCAUUAUCGUGAUCUUCUCUGGAGUUUUAGUCAUAGCUUAUUUUCCUGAGAAACGUGGAUAUAUGAUUUUCAGAGGAGUGAAGCAUUCAGAUUGUAGUAUUAAUCAGACUCAUUUCUCAGAUUAGCGAAAUCCCUUGUUGAAACAAAUGACUGACCUCAGCCGAAUGUAGACUCUCAUUGUUUUUCCUCAGACAACAGGGAGGAAGCCUCCGACCUUCGCUCCGCUUUCUCCAUCUUUUCCUCUAUCUAUCUCUCUAUCGCUGACAUCACAGUGGAAGCCUUUGACUUCCUGUUCCCUGGACGCCCUCAACUUCUGGAAAUCUUGCGCUGAACUUUUGAUGUCUUCCGCAGUUUUGGCAUAGCUGCAGGGUGUAGGUGAUUGAGAAAUCUCAUCUCUGGUCACAAGAGACGCAGACAUCAUGAGUCCUAAGUUGUUUUUGUUGAUAGGAUCAUGGAAAAUGUGAAUAUGUACAGUUUCAGAUGGAGCUCUAAUCAGAAGCCUCAGAGUCAUCUCAGACUCAGCCUGCCGCACUAGACUAAUUUCAUUGAGAUUUGUUUUGAUUUGUUUUGAUUUUUGUUUUGAGAUUUUAUCCACAAAAAUGUGAUAUGUUCAGUGUGCAUGUGAGAGAGGGAAAAGAGCGAGAGAGCGAAGAGUUGGAGAGACAGAUCCAGAUGGAUGCUAUUUUUGAUUUAUGGGAAAACAUUUCUGCUUUUUACCUUCCUGCAAAGAUCCAGAUUACAACUGAACAAACCCCAAGUACUCAGAUAACAUCAGAGAGUAAUCCCAAUCUGGCAAGGGCACCGAACAAAAGAACGAGAGAAAGACAGACAUACAGCAAGAAGGCCAAGAGAGAAUGAUGGAGGGAAAUGGAGAGAUAGGAAAAGAGAAGAAGUUUAAAAGAAAAAAAAUGACAAGAUGUAAUGUUGUAGGUAUGCUUGUCAUCACUUGGUGGGACGGAUGUUCCAUCCAGCUCAUAAAGUUAGUGCGCUUACGAGGACCUCUGCUGGAAUACACACGUAAUUCAUCACAGUUUUGGAUUGGUUUCAGAAUAAUAGCCACUAAAUAGGAAGAUAUUCUUAAUUUUUCCCAUUAUCAUCAUCACUGCUCACUUUGUCUUGGGUUAUUAAUUAAACCUGAACUGUCAGGUCCAGUUUUAGAUGAUGAAAUUAAACAGCGUGUGAACGUUUCUGUGACUUUAAAUAGUGCAUGAAUAUUUAAUGAGGUAAUUUAACUAGAGAAGUUGCUAAAUAACUUUCUGUAGCAUUCUAAUAUUGUGUUUUACAUUAUAUCUUUUGGUAAUUCAGGUUCUAACCUACUAAAAGUGUGUGUGGGGGGCUGUGAGUGCAAAAAAAAAAAAAAAAUUAAAAACAUGAAAUGUUGCUUAAUUAGCCCAGUGAAAAAUCUUCCUUUAUUUGGCGUUUCGAAGAGACAUUAACUUAGAAUUAAGUGUAAUGUGAAAACCCCGCCAGAGACAGCAGGGGAGAAGGACAUAAAACAGUGAGAGUGUUAGGGUUUACUUUAGAUAAACUCAGGGAUUUGAUGGACAGCAUGGCAGCGGUUUGGAGAGAGCAGAGGAGCAGGUUUCACUCUGUUACAGUAGAGCCUUUGUUUAAGACCUUAUUAUUGUUUUUACUGAAGCUCUACCACAGGGAGCUGAAACACACCCUCACAUACAGAGAGUGGUGAUGAGUGUAAAUUUGAGAACUGUCAAUAUUGAUUUUGCAAAGCAGACAUUGAUUUGUCACGAAUUUAUCACGAACGUGAUGGUGGUUUUCAUCUCAUUCUGUUUAUACAUUUUUCAUUGUUUUUCGACCGUACACAUGUACUAAGACAAUAACAUAUUUCCGUUUUUAUUGUUCAUUUUAAUCAGUGUAAACCCUGGAUUAUACCCUGUAAUGCAUAUUUACAAGAAAUAUUUUAACAUGUAGACUGAAGAUACUAUUUAAACUGAACUGAGCUGGACAACGACAUCACUGAAUUCAAUGAUAAAACGCCUUUAACUGAAAAUAAAGUGAUUACUAUUGUCCUUUUUCAUUAUUGACACACUAUUUUCAUAUUUGAUACUGUAAAACUGCUUUGACACAAUCUGUAUUGUUAAAAGCGCUAUAUAAAUAAAGUUGACUUGGCUUGAUCUUCAA